UACGGGAAGGCAGCAGUGGGGAAUAUUGCACAAUGGGCGCAAGCCUGAUGCAGCCAUGCCGCGUGUAUGAAGAAGGCCUUCGGGUUGUAAAGUACUUUCAGUCGUGAGGAAGGUGUUAAGGUUAAUAACCUUAGCAAUUGACGUUAGCGACAGAAGAAGCACCGGCUAACUCCGUGCCAGCAGCCGCGGUAAUACGGAGGGUGCGAGCGUUAAUCGGAAUUACUGGGCGUAAAGGGCACGCAGGCGGUUAAUUAAGUUGGAUGUGAAAUCCCCGGGCUUAACCUGGGAAUGGCAUUCAAGACUGGUUAGCUAGAGUCUUGUAGAGGGGGUAGAAUUCCAUGUGUAGCGGUGAAAUGCGUAGAGAUGUGGAGGAAGUACCGGUGACGAAGGCGGCCCCUGGACAAAAGACUGACGCUCAUGUGCGAAAGCGUGGGGAGCGAAACAGGGAUUAGAUACC
rnacentral:rRNA from 1 species